rnacentral:rRNA from 1 species
AUGGAGGUUCUGCUCAGGCAACCCUGCACUGCUUGCAGCCGACGCCGUGGAGGUAUCCAAACCUCAGAGGACUACAGGUUCUAUGCCAUCUCGGCGGAGUACCCUGAGUUCAGCAACAAGGAGAAGACACUCGUGCUGCAGUUCACGGUGAAGCAUGAGCAAAAGCUUGUCUGCGGUGGUGGUUACAUCAAGUUGCUCGGAGAUGUUUUGCAUCAGCCUGUCAUUGCUAAGGAAGAAGCAGUACUUGAAGAAGCAGACUACAUGUUUUCUUGUUGUGAAGCACUAGAUAGUUCUAUUUAUUCAUUCCUGUUAUAG